UACAGGAACUUUCCUCUCCCCAGGAAUCCUAAACAGAGAAUGUGAGCGGAUAGCACUUUGAAAAUGACACAGCGGGUUAAAGCUUCCAAAGAUGACCCUAAAGAGACACCAGCAGCCAUGCUUGUGAUGAGGUACCUCAUGGGACACUCACAACUUCCUGCCCAAGACCACAUGGCCUCCAGUGCAUCACAACUGCAGCCAAGGCAGAGUUUUUUUAAAACUCAUUUUCCUCUCAUCUCUCAGGCACUGACGUUGAAUCUGUGUAGAUUUACCGCUACAUCAUUGAAAAGGGGAUACUGCAUCUUAAUACUUUUAGGGAUACACUGUGGAUUUCCACCAAACAGCGGAAAGAGUAUCCUUGAACUUUUUGACAUAGCUUUGGAGCAUAAAGGAGAAAUUGAAGGGAUUUGGGGAUAGGCCAAAAUACCAUUGGAAACAGGGAGCCUUUCAACCUCAAAACACCGUAAUUCAUAACCAGAUCUUUUCUGAAAUACGACCAGACUAUCUCUUGUGAAGUGGAUUUUCCAUUCCAUAUUUCAUACCAAUAGGACUUUUUAUAGUACAUAUCUAAGCACGUUUACUAAGCAUGUUUACUCAGAGAAGGAUGUUUCAGAGUUCAGUGGGGUUUAGGCUCAAAGAAGUAUACAAAAGAUGAAUUUAUGUUAAAUAUGUGUUCAGCCUUUAAAACACAGAUGGGAAUCAUAAGGGCUUCUACAUGUUUUUUAACGACAACUUCCAGUGUAGCCAAUGAUGAUGAAUGAAGAGAGUUGUUGUCCAACAACAUCUGGAGAGCUGCAUGAUUCCCAUUCUCCUUUGUACCUAUUCCCAUGCUUUUUAACACAUUAAACAUAAAUUUCCAUCGCAUACCAUCGAAUGCCUUUUUGGCAUCGACAAAAAUUAACGCCAUUUCUUUCUCUUUGUGAAUAGUGUGAUGUUCUAUUAUAUUUAAUAUCGUUCUUGUAUUAUAUCUCAAUUGUCUUUCUGGCAAAAAACCAUUCUGAUCAUUGUUAAUAACUUUACACAAAAUCUUUUUCAGCCUGUUAGCUAGUAUUCCUGUAAAGGUUUUAUAAUCGAUAUUUCAUAAGGCUAUUGGCCUAUAGUUUGACAUUACUGUAUUGUCCUUACCUUCCUUUGGGAUAAAUGAGACAUUAGCUGUGUACCACGCAUUAGGUCUACCUUCUCGAA